rnacentral:rRNA from 1 species
GGCGAACGGGUGCUUAACACGUGGGCAACUGCCAAGAAGUGGGGGAUAGCUCGCCGAAAGGCGAAUUAAUACCGCAUGUGAUCAGAGUGGACAUCUAUUCGAAAUCAAAGUCGGGGCAACCUGACGCUUCUUGAGGGGCCCGCGGCCUAUCAGCUAGUUGGUGAGGUAACGGCCCACCAAGGCUUAGACGGGUAGCUGGUCUGAGAGGACGACCAGCCACACUGGGACUGAGACACGGCCCAGACACCUACGGGUGGCAGCAGUCGAGAAUUUUUCUCAAUGGGGGAAACCCUGAAGGAGCGACGCCGCGUGGAGGAUGAAGGUCUUCGGAUUGUAAACUCCUGUCAUUGGGGAACAAUGCGUAAAUAUUAACUGUAUUUGCGUUGAUAGUACCCGAAGAGGAAGGGACGGCUAACUCUGUGCCAGCAGCCGCGG